rnacentral:piRNA from 1 species
AGGGACUGUAGAGAUGGCUCAGA